UAAAGAUGGAGACAUCAAAGCCGAGCAUUACUAAUUGCCCGUCCACUUUCUUUA
rnacentral:rRNA from 1 species